GAUGAACGCUAGCUACAGGCUUAACACAUGCAAGUCGAGGGGAAACGACAUUGAAAGCUUGCUUUUGAUGGGCGUCGACCGGCGCACGGGUGAGUAACGCGUAUCCAACCUGCCCAUCACUUGGGAAUAACCUUGCGAAAGUAAGACUAAUACCCAAUGAUAUCCCACGAAGGCAUCGGAAUGGGAUUAAAGAUUUAUCGGUGAUGGAUGGGGAUGCGUCUGAUUAGCUUGUUGGCGGGGUAACGGCCCACCAAGGCAACGAUCAGUAGGGGUUCUGAGAGGAAGGUCCCCCACAUUGGAACUGAGACACGGUCCAAACUCCUACGGGAGGCAGCAGUGAGGAAUAUUGGUCAAUGGGCGAGAGCCUGAACCAGCCAAAUAGCGUGCAGGAAGACGGCCCUAUGGGUUGUAAACUGCUUUUAUAAGGGAAUAAAGUGGGUCACGUGUGACUUUUUGCAUGUACCUUAUGAAUAAGGACCGGCUAAUUCCGUG
rnacentral:rRNA from 1 species